rnacentral:rRNA from 1 species
GGUUAAGCGACUAAGCGUACACGGUGGAUGCCCUGGCAGUCAGAGGCGAUGAAGGACGUGCUAAUCUGCGAUAAGCGUCGGUAAGGUGAUAUGAACCGUUAUAACCGGCGAUUUCCGAAUGGGGAAACCCAGUGUGUUUCGACACACUAUCAUUAACUGAAUCCAUAGGUUAAUGAGGCGAACCGGGGAACUGAAACAUCUAAGUACCCCGAGGAAAAGAAAUCAACCGAGAUUCCCCCAGUAGCGGCGAGCGAACGGGGAGGAGCCCAGAGCCUGAAUCAGUGUGUGUGUUAGUGGAAGCGUCUGGAAAGGCGCGCGAUACAGGGUGACAGCCCCGUACACAAAAAUGCACAUGCUGUGAGCUCGAUGAGUAGGGCGGGACACGUGGUAUCCUGUCUGAAUAUGGGGGACCAUCCUCCAAGGCUAAAUACUCCUGACUGACCGAUAGUGAACCAGUACCGUGAGGGAAAGGCGAAAAGAACCCCGGCGAGGGGAGUGAAAAAGAACCUGAAACCGUGUACGUACAAGCAGUGGAAGCCUAUUUAUGGGGUGACUGCGUACCUUUUGUAUAAUGGGUCAGCGACUUAUAUUCUGUAGCAAGGUUAACCGAAUAGGGGAGCCGAAGGGAAACCGAGUCUUAACUGGGCGUUAAGUUGCAGGGUAUAGACCCGAAACCCGGUGAUCUAGCCAUGGGCAGGUUGAAGGUUGGGUAACACUAACUGGAGGACCGAACCGACUAAUGUUGAAAAAUUAGCGGAUGACUUGUGGCUGGGGGUGAAAGGCCAAUCAAACCGGGAGAUAGCUGGUUCUCCCCGAAAGCUAUUUAGGUAGCGCCUCGUGAAUUCAUCUCCGGGGUAGAGCACUGUUUCGGCAAGGGGUCAUCCCGACUUACCAACCCGAUGCAAACUGCGAAUACCGGAGAAUGUUAUCACGGGAGACACACGGCGGGUGCUAACGUCCGUCGUGAAGAGGGAAACAACCCAGACCGCCAGUUAAGGUCCCAAAGUCAUGGUUAAGUGGGAAACGAUGUGGGAAGGCCCAGACAGCCAGGAUGUUGGCUUAGAAGCAGCCAUCAUUUAAAGAAAGCGUAAUAGCUCACUGGUCGAGUCGGCCUGCGCGGAAGAUGUAACGGGGCUAAACCAUGCACCGAAGCUGCGGCAGCGACGCUGAUGCGUUGUUGGGUAGGGGAGCGUUCUGUAAGCCUGCGAAGGUGUGCUGUGAGGCAUGCUGGAGGUAUCAGAAGUGCGAAUGCUGACAUAAGUAACGAUAAAGCGGGUGAAAAGCCCGCUCGCCGGAAGACCAAGGGUUCCUGUCCAACGUUAAUCGGGGCAGGGUGAGUCGACCCUAAGGCGAGGCCGAAAGGCGUAGUCGAUGGGAAACAGGUUAAUAUUCCUGUACUUGGUGUUACUGCGAAGGGGGACGGAGAAGGCUAUGUUGGUACGGGCGACGGUUGUCCCGGUUUAAGCGUGUAGGCUGGUUUUCCAGGCAAAUCCGGAAAAUCAAGGCUGAGGCGUGAUGACGAGGCACUACGGUGCUGAAGUAACAAAUGCCCUGCUUCCAGGAAAAGCCUCUAAGCAUCAGGUAACAUCAAAUCGUACCCCAAACCGACACAGGUGGUCAGGUAGAGAAUACCAAGGCGCUUGAGAGAACUCGGGUGAAGGAACUAGGCAAAAUGGUGCUGUAACUUCGGGAGAAGGCACGCUGAUAUGUAGGUGAAGCGACUUGCUCGUGGAGCUGAAAUCAGUCGAAGAUACCAGCUGGCUGCAACUGUUUAUUAAAAACACAGCACUGUGCAAACACGAAAGUGGACGUAUACGGUGUGACGCCUGCCCGGUGCCGGAAGGUUAAUUGAUGGGGUUAGCGGUAACGCGAAGCUCUUGAUCGAAGCCCCGGUAAACGGCGGUACGUAACUAUAACGGUCCUAAGGUAGCGAAAUUCCUUGUCGGGUAAGUUCCGACCUGCACGAAUGGCGUAAUGAUGGCCAGGCUGUCUCCACCCGAGACUCAGUGAAAUUGAACUCGCUGUGAAGAUGCAGUGUACCCGCGGCAAGACGGAAAGACCCCGUGAACCUUUACUAUAGCUUGACACUGAACAUUGAGCCUUGAUGUGUAGGAUAGGUGGGAGGCUUUGAAGUGUGGACGCCAGUCUGCAUGGAGCCGACCUUGAAAUACCACCCUUUAAUGUUUGAUGUUCUAACGUUGGCCCCUAAUCGGGGUUGCGGACAGUGUCUGGUGGGUAGUUUGACUGGGGCGGUCUCCUCCUAAAGAGUAACGGAGGAGCACGAAGGUUGGCUAAUCCUGGUCGGACAUCAGGAGGUUAGUGCAAUGGCAUAAGCCAGCUUGACUGCGAGCGUGACGGCGCGAGCAGGUGCGAAAGCAGGUCAUAGUGAUCCGGUGGUUCUGAAUGGAAGGGCCAUCGCUCAACGGAUAAAAGGUACUCCGGGGAUAACAGGCUGAUACCGCCCAAGAGUUCAUAUCGACGGCGGUGUUUGGCACCUCGAUGUCGGCUCAUCACAUCCUGGGGCUGAAGUAGGUCCCAAGGGUAUGGCUGUUCGCCAUUUAAAGUGGUACGCGAGCUGGGUUUAGAACGUCGUGAGACAGUUCGGUCCCUAUCUGCCGUGGGCGCUGGAGAACUGAGGGGGCUGCUCCUAGUACGAGAGGACCGGAGUGGACGCAUCACUGGUGUUCGGGUUGUCAUGCCAAUGGCACUGCCCGGUAGCUAAAUGCGGAAGAGAUAAGUGCUGAAAGCAUCUAAGCACGAAACUUGCCCCGAGAUGAGUUCUCCCUGACUCCUUGAGAGUCCUGAAGGAACGUUGAAGACGACGACGUUGAUAGGCCGGGUGUGUAAGCGCAGCGAUGCGUUGAGCUAACCGGUACUAAUGAACCGUGAGGCUUAACCUU